rnacentral:rRNA from 1 species
GUAGGGUGCGAGCGUUAAUCGGAAUUACUGGGCGUAAAGCGUGCGCAGGCGGUCAUGCAAGACAGAUGUGAAAUCCCCGGGCUCAACCUGGGAAUUGCAUUUGUGACUGCAUGGCUGGAGUGCGGCAGAGGGGGAUGGAAUUCCGCGUGUAGCAGUGAAAUGCGUAGAUAUGCGGAGGAACACCGAUGGCGAAGGCAAUCCCCUGGGCCUGCACUGACGCUCAUGCACGAAAGCGUGGGGAGCAAACAGGAUUAGAUACCCUGGUAGUCCACGCCCUAAACGAUGUCAACUGGUUGUUGGACGGCUUGCUGUUCAGUAACGAAGCUAACGCGUGAAGUUGACCGCCUGGGGAGUACGGCCGCAAGGUUG